rnacentral:rRNA from 1 species
UACGGAGGGUGCAAGCGUUAUCCGGAUUCACUGGGUUUAAAGGGUGUGUAGGCGGGCAAUUAAGUCAGCGGUGAAAUCUCCGGGCUCAACCCGGAAACUGCCAUUGAUACUAUUUGUCUUGAAUAUCGUUGAGGUAGGCGGAAUAUAUCAUGUAGCGGUGAAAUGCUUAGAUAUGAUAUAGAACACCGAUUGCGAAGGCAGCUUACUAAACGAUUAUUGACGCUGAGGCACGAAAGCGUGGGGAUCAAACAGG